AGUGCAGCAUGAUGCUUCUCCCACUCUGGAGCUGCCAAGAAGCCCCGCAAAACCUCAGAAGCAACCGGAACCACAGUAUUCCCACCAAGAGAAAUCGAUAGCCUGUCCAAACACUCCUGCCCAAACCCAUAAUUACUAGUCUCCCCAGCAUCCUCAUCCUCAGUCUCUGCACUAUGCCACACAGGAUCAUCUUCUAUAUCCAAUAACAUCGUCAUUAACACCAUAAACAGCUUAUGCACAAACUGCGGAAACUUCCUCAUCAGUCCGGGCGCCCUCUCUCUCGCCUCAGCUAGCGUAAUUACAAACUCUAUCGCCAAAUGCCUCGUCCCUUCCUCUAAACUCUCCGCCUCCGCUAUUUGCAACAUGGAGCCUACAACCUCCAUUAUUUGCUUCCUCAAAAAUCUAGGCUCGCUCCCUGCUAAUUCAAUCAACAAUUCAAGCGCUUCUUGGGCCGUCGCCUCUUGUUUGCUAUUCAAUGCUUCGGUCAAAGUCCGCAUCAUUAAUGGCAACAAAUCCUGAAACUUUUCGCGAUCGUUAUUGUUUGAUAAGCAUUGUAUGAAAUUAAUUGUUGCAUUUAAAGCUGCAAUUCUCAAUUCGGCACUCGUAGAAUUACUUAAACAUUUUAAAAACAGUUCAUGAAGAGUACUCAAAUGGAGAAUUAGGGUUUCGCCAACAAACUGAGCCAAACGCGCAAAAAUCAAAAGCGCCGAUUCUUGGAGAUUAUG
rnacentral:misc_RNA from 1 species